GAUGAACGCUGGCGGCGUGCCUAAUACAUGCAAGUCGAGCGAACGGACGAGAAGCUUGCUUCUCUGAUGUUAGCGGCGGACGGGUGAGUAACACGUGGAUAACCUACCUAUAAGACUGGGAUAACUUCGGGAAACCGGAGCUAAUACCGGAUAAUAUUUUGAACCGCAUGGUUCAAAAGUGAAAGACGGUCUUGCUGUCACUUAUAGAUGGAACCGCGCUGCAUUAGCUAGUUGGUAAGGUAACGGCUUACCAAGGCAACGAUGCAUAGCCGACCUGAGAGGGUGAUCAGCCACACUGGAACUGAGACACGGUCCAGACUCCUACGGGAGGCAGCAGUAGGGAAUCUUCCGCAAUGGGCGAAAGCCUGACGGAGCAACGCCGCGUGAGUGAUGAAGGUCUUCGGAUCGUAAAACUCUGUUAUUAGGGAAGAACAUAUGUGUAAGUAACUGUGCACAUCUUGACGGUACCUAAUCAGAAAGCCACGGCUAACUACGUG
rnacentral:rRNA from 1 species